rnacentral:lncRNA from 9 species
CACGGGCCCCUUUGCUGGUUGCCAUCUCUCGGCUUUGUGUGCGGGGAAACAUCUUGAACAAAAUGUCACGGAGAGAGCAUCUCAGCCGUGUCCUGCUGACUGAGGACAUGGGCUGCCGGGUUUGCCAUCUGCCUGCAGCCUCUCCGAGGUAAUUAUAUCAGAGUCUCUCAAGUCCUGGAACAAGGUGGAUGUCAGAUGCACUUUUCUUCCUCUAGGAAGGGAACCAGAGUCUUUAUAGCAUCAGUGAAAAGGAACUCUGUCCUCCUUAUCUUCCUGCUUUUCUCAGUUCAGCCCCCAUUCUUAUUCCAUUGGUGCCUGGAGGAAGUCUUGGUUAAAAGCUUUCUGAUGGAGACAUUGAUGAUUAGUUUGGAAGGAGCCAGAGUGAGUGGUCCCGACUCCUCCCCCGCUUCCCCCGCUUCCAGGAUGUGCAGGGCUGCACCCAGAACAGAUGCCUUCCUUUGGACAAGGGUCUCAACACCUCUGGGGGCACUGCUGGUCUUGAGAUUCACUCCUUUUCUCAUGUUUGGUCCACUCAGUGUCAGAUGUUUUGCUAGGUGA